ensembl:ncRNA F59G1.12 ncRNA
UGGGAGGAGUAGCUGAAGGAGGAGGAUCGAAAGUAGAGAAGUGAAGAGACUGGGUCAUUCGGUCGCUUCGUCGUUAUUCUUUUUUGCCGCGGUCCCCCCGCGCACUGAGAGAGAGGACAGACGAGAAGCGGAAGGCACACGCAGCAGAGCACGGAGGGACACGAGCGCGGCGCCCCGCAAGCCUUUCCGUGAGGCUGGCACCACCACCGCUUGGCGACGCGUCCCCGAAAUAGUGUUAGGUGCCACAGAGACGUAGACCACCU